GGAGCCGCGUUCCGGGCUCGGGCGCCAUGGCGGCGGCGUUGGAGGCGGACGCUGAGCGGUGGAUGGAGGAGGCGGUGCGCAUGGCCAAAGAAGCCCUAGAAAAUAUCGAAGUCCCUGUUGGCUGCCUCAUGGUCUACAGCAAUGAAAUUGUAGGAAAGGGAAGAAAUGAAGUGAACCAAACGAAAAAUGCGACCCGGCACGCGGAGAUGGUGGCCAUCGACCAGGCCCUGGGCUGGUGUCGCCGCCGGGGCCGGAGCCCUGCAGAGGUGUUUGCACGCACGGUGCUGUACGUCACCGUGGAGCCCUGCAUCAUGUGCGCGGCCGCCCUGCGGCUGAUGAGUAUCCUCCAGGGGCUGCAGCCCGAGACCCCACGGGGUGGUGGACACAUGUCCACCCCAGAGUGGGAAACACGGACGCCAAGUGUGUGCCCCAUGCAAAACAUAGUCAAAUUCCCUGUUUCUUUCUAGAUCAAUACACAUGUAACCUAUAAAUAAGCUAGAGAAAGAAAAGCUUAGAACUAAACUUUAACUGCUGUGUGAGGAUGAAUCAUGAAUGAAAUCAAAGUAGGUUACAGAGCAGGUGCUUAGAAGUUCUGAGGAACGUGCACCUAAGUGUUGCUUUUGGAUAAAGGAUGGCAGGUGAUUGGAAGUUUUUCCUUCUCUAUCAGCCUGUUUUUGUUUGAUUGUUUUUGCCAUGAGCACAUCUAGUGUGUGAACAUUUAAGUCAAAAGUAAAUAAAAAGUAAAAAACGCACUUAAAUCGUUCCUGAUGUCGUCCCGUGAGGAGACGGAGAGUAGAGCUGCAGCCCUUUAGGUUGUGCCUUGCAGAAUAACAGCACAGCUGCUGAGCAGAACAAGUUACUCUCUAAAGAUCUUUUUUAAAAAUGUAUUUGAAGAUUCGAACACUCUCAGUGUCAUACUUGCAUAUUUUCCCAUGUUCUUAUUUUGCUAAGUAGCUUAGCCACUGUAAAAAUAUAGAGGUUUUUGAGAGUAAAAUGUACAGUAUCUAAUUUAUAAAAUGGGAGCUUUGGUCAACCUGGAGCCAUAUGUUCACCUACUUUUGAAGUUAGUGUGGCCCCUGUAAGGUGAUCUGGUCAGAGCUCCCAAUUGACGGCCUCGCAGUCUGAGACCCGGAGAGAUGAAAUCGUCCCGGCUUCUCACUGGGAGAGCCAGAGCCAGCACCCACGCCUGUGUGAGCGGCAUUCUCACCGCCUGAGCGGGGGCCCCGUGCCUGGUUGUGGAGUGGACAGAUCGGUUCUCGCUGUCCUUUAUCCUGAGGGAAACCUAACCCAUGACCUUUGGAUUCAAGUCCCGUGUGCUAGUUGGACAGGACCAAAGCCAUAACUGCCGUCUGCGUCCCAGCCUGGCUGUGGACUGAGGCCCUGCCUCUCUGCACCUCUUCUCAGCUCCUGCUGGCCCAGAGGGGCGCACGUGUUGAAGCUGGACUGACUAGUUUGUCAGGCUCCUUAACUUUCCCAGACGUCCCGCUGGUCGUCUACGGCUGCCAGAACGAGCGCUUCGGCGGCUGCGGCUCGGUGCUGGACAUUGCCUCUGCCGACCUGCCCCACACCGGGAGGCCCUUCAAG